rnacentral:rRNA from 12 species
AAGGUAGCGAAAUUCCUUGUCGGGUAAGUUCCGACCUGCACGAAUGGCGUAACGAUGGCCAAACUGUCUCCACCCGAGACUCAGUGAAAUCGAAAUCGCUGUGAAGAUGCAGUGUUCCCGCGGCUAGACGGAAAGACCCCGUGAACCUUUACUAUAGCUUUACGCUGAAUUUUGAGUAUUUUUGUGUAGGAUAGGUGGGAGACUUUGAAACUUGGGCGCCAGCUCAGGUGGAGUCAUCCUUGAAAUACCACCCUGAAAUACUUGGAAUUCUAACCUCGACCCAUUAUCUGGGUUAGGGACAGCGUAUGGUGGGUAGUUUGACUGGGGCGGUCUCCUCCCAAAGAGUAACGGAGGAGCGCGAAGGUAACCUCAGCACGGUCGGAAAUCGUGCAAUGAGUGCAAAGGCAUAAGGUUGCUUGACUGCGAGUCAGACACGACGAGCAGGUACGAAAGUAGGUCUUAGUGAUCCGGUGGUUCUGUAUGGAAGGGCCAUCGCUCAACGGAUAAAAGGUACUCCGGGGAUAACAGGCUGAUUCCUCCCAAGAGUCCACAUCGACGGAGGAGUUUGGCACCUCGAUGUCGGCUCAUCACAUCCUGGGGCUGAAGCAGGUCCCAAGGGUAUGGCUGUUCGCCAUUUAAAGUGGUACGCGAGCUGGGUUCAGAACGUCGUGAGACAGUUCGGUCCCUAUCUGCCGUGGGCGUUUGAGAUUUGAGAGGAGCUGUCCUUAGUACGAGAGGACCGGGAUGGACGCACCACUGGUGUUUCUGUUGUCAUGCCAAUGGCAUUGCAGAGUAGCUACGUGCGGACGGGAUAACCGCUGAAAGCAUCUAAGCGGGAAGCCCCCCUCAAAACCAGGUAUCCCUAUCAGAGCCGUGGAAGACCACCACGUUGAUAGGCUGGAAGUGGAAGCGCAGCAAUGCGUGAAGCGGACCAGUACUAAUUGCUCGAUCGGCUUGAU